GCACUGCUGAGGAGUCCCAUACUAGGACGAAACGGCCUUCCAUUAC
rfam:Schistosoma haematobium scaffold1218_3, whole genome shotgun sequence.